rnacentral:rRNA from 1 species
GUGAGGAAUUUUGCGCAAUGGGGGCAACCCUGACGCAGCGACGCCGCGUGGAGGACGAAGUCUUUCGGGAUGUAAACUCCUGUCAGUGGGGACGAUAAUGACGGUACCCACAGAGGAAGCACCGGCUAACUCCGUGCCAGCAGCCGCGGUAAGACGGAGGGUGCAAGCGUUGUUCGGAAUUACUGGGCGUAAAGCGUAUGUAGGCGGCAAGUUAAGUUCAAUGUUAAAGCCCACGGCUCAACCGAGGAGAUGCAUUGAAUACUGGCUAGCUAGAGGGUGUUAGAGGAAGACGGAAUUCCCAGUGUAGCGGUGAAAUGCGUAGAUAUUGGGAGGAACAUCGGUAGCGAAAGCGGUCUUCUGGGACAUACCUGACGCUGAGGUACGAAAGCGUGGGGAGCAAACGGGAUUAGAUACCCGUGUAGUCC